UAGCGGAUGACUUGUGGCUGGGGGUGAAAGGCCAAUCAAACCGGGAGAUAGCUGGUUCUCCCCGAAAGCUAUUUAGGUAGCGCCUCGUGAAUUCAUCUCCGGGGGUAGAGCACUGUUUCGGCAAGGGGGUCAUCCCGACUUACCAACCCGAUGCAAACUGCGAAUACCGGAGAAUGUUAUCACGGGAGACACACGGCGGGUGCUAACGUCCGUCGUGAAGAGGGAAACAACCCAGACCGCCAGCUAAGGUCCCAAAGUCAUGGUUAAGUGGGAAACGAUGUGGGAAGGCCCAGACAGCCAGGAUGUUGGCUUAGAAGCAGCCAUCAUUUAAAGAAAGCGUAAUAGCUCACUGGUCGAGUCGGCCUGCGCGGAAGAUGUAACGGGGCUAAACCAUGCACCGAAGCUGCGGCAGCGACG
rnacentral:rRNA from 1 species